GGCUACCUCCCACACGGUGGAGCCGUGUGAACCGGGUCAGGCGGGAGACCGAGCAGCCCUAAGCAUCGCGUUUCCAGGUGUGUGUGGAGGUAGCCUCC
rnacentral:SRP_RNA from 1 species